AUCUCAACUCUGUUGUUACCAUUAACGAUACGAGGUCGAAUUGGUGGUCAAUAUGGUGUUUUGAUAACGAAGGACGAUAAAGAGGGCCGUACGGAAUUAAUUAAUUUGACAGAUAUGUCUUUUGCAGUUGAGAUGUUCCUGAUAGGCCUGCUCUUUUUUGUGCAUUUAAUAGGUUUUAUUAGUGUGCUCAAGAAAAGGAUAGGAUGGGUACUACUCUCUGUUAUUUUCCAUAUAGGCGAGAUAAUUUUAUGUUUGUUUUGGAUCAAGAAUGUACUUUCCGAAAAUAUCAAGUCUCAUGUUAUGUCACAAUAUUCAUUGGGAUGGUAUUGCUUCUUUGCUCUCGUCAUCGAAUCCAUCUCUCUAGUCGCAGUCAUGUCGGUAUCCGAUGAAGAAGUGGGAAAAAACAAAAAAUCCGAUGAGGAAUUACCAAGUACCAUGCUUGUGUAGCGAUACAAAAAUAUUUAAAAAUUAAAAAAAGUGUACAAUAAAAAUUAUAUUAUUGUUGUCAUCAUGAUGCAUUAAAAUUAAAAUAAAAAAAUAAUUUUUCAAGCAACUUGAAA